rnacentral:lncRNA from 1 species
CCGAAGGCCGGGGCACCAAGUUCGUCCAGCGGAAAAAGGCCACAAAAACGGGUGGGCUAUAUCCUUGGGGGGUGGGGCUGGCCAAGUUCGUCCGCCAGACUCGGAAUGGCGCGAGACUUUACGAGGUGCCUCCGUGUGCCAAAAAUAGGCCGCGGGCACAGCCGCGCCCAAAAAUAACCGUCCGAAGGCUAGGGCGGCAAGUUCGUCUAGCAGAAAAAGCACACAAAAACGGGUGAUCUGUAGCCUUGGGGGGUGGGGCUGGCAAACUUCGUCCGCCGGACUCGGAAUGGCGCGAGACUUUGCGAGGCGCUUCCGUGUACCAAAAAUAGGCCCCGGACGCAGCCGCGCCCAAAAAUUACCGCCCGAAGGCUGGGGCGCCAGGUUCGUCCAGCGCAAAAAGCACACAAAAACGGGUGGGCUAUAGCCUUGCGGGGUGGGGCUGGCCAACUUCGUCCGCCGGACUCAGAAUGGUGCGAGCCUUUCGAGGCACCCCCGUGUGCUAAAAAUAGGCUUCAGGCACAGCCGCGCCCAAAAAUAACCGCCCGAAGGCCGGGGCGCCAAGUUCGUCCAGCGGAAAAAGCACACAAAAACGGGUGGUCUAUAGCCUUGGAGGGUGGGGCUGGCAAACUUUGUCCGCCGGACUCGGAAUGGCGCGAGACUUUGCGAGGCACUUCCGUGUGCCAAAAAUAGGCCGUGGACGCAGCCGCGCCCAAAAAUAACCGACCGAAGGCCGGUGCGCCAAGUUCGUCCAGCGGAAAAAGGCCACAAAAACGGGUGGGCUAUAGCCUUGGGUGGUGGGGCUGGCCAACUUUGUCCGCCGGACUCGGAAUGGCGUGAGACUUUGCGAGGCAUCUCCAUGUGACCAAAAUAGGCCGCGGGCACAGCCGCGCCCAAAAAUAACCGCCCGAAGGACGGGGCGCCGAGUUCGUCGAGCGGAAAAUGGCCAUAAAAACGGGUGUGCUAUAGCCUUGGGGGGUGGGGCUGGCCAACUUCUUCCGCCGGACUCGGAAUGGCGCGAGACUUUGCGAGGCACCUCUGUGUGCCAACAAUAGGCCGCGGGCACAGCCGUGCCCAAUAAUAAUGGCACGAAGGCGGGGCACCAAGUUCGUCCAGCGGAAAACGGUCACAAAAAUGGGUGGGUUAUAUAUCCUUGGGGGGCGGGGUUGGCCAACUUUGUCCCCAGGACUCGGAAUGGCGCGAGACUUUGCGAGGCCACUCCAUGUGCCAAAAAUAGGCCGCGGGCACAGCGGCGCCCAAAAAUAACUGCCCGAAGGCCAGGGCGCCAAGUUCGUCCAGCGGAAAAAGCACACAAAAACGGGUGGUCUAUAGCCUUGGAGGGUGGGGCUGGCAAACUUCGUCCGCCGGACUCGGAAUGGCGUGAGACUUUGCGAGGCACUUCCGUGUGCCAAAAAUAGGCCGUGGACGCAGCCGCGCCCAAAAAUUACCGCCCGAAGUCUGGGGCGCCAAGUUCGUCCAGCGGAAAAAGCACCCAAAAACGGGUGGGCUAUAGCCUUGCGGGGUGGGGCUGGCCAACUUCGUCCGCCGGACUCGGAAUGGCGCGAGACUUUGCGAGGCACCUCCGUGUGCUAAAAAUAGGCUUCGGGCACAGCCGCGCCCAAAAAUAACCACCCGAAGGCCGGGGCGCCAAGUUCGUCCAGCGGAAAAAGCACACAAAAACGGGUGGUCUAUAGCCUUGGAGGGUGGGGCUGGCAAACUUUGUCCGCCGGACUCGGAAUCGCGCGAGACGUUGCGAGGCACUUCCGUGUGCCAAAAAUAGGCCGUGGACGCAGCCGCGCCCAAAAAUAACCGUCCGAAGGCCGGUGCGCCAAGUUCGUCCAGCGGAAAAAUGCCACAAAAACGGGUGGGCUAUAGCCUUGGGGGGUGGGGCUGGCCAACUUCGUCCGCCGGACUCGGAAUGGUGCGAGACUUUGCGAGGCCUCUCCGUGUGACAAAAAUAAGCCGUGGGCACAGCCGCGCCCAAAAAUAACCGCCCGAAGGAUGGGGCGCCGAGUUCGUCCAGCGGAAAAUGGCCACAAAAACGGGUGUGCUAUAGCCUUGGGGGGUGGGGCUGGCCAACUUCUUCCGCCGGACUCGGAUUGGCACGAGACUUUGCGAGGCACCUCUGUGUGCCAAAAAUAGGCCGCGGGCACAGCCGUGCCCAAUAAUAAUGGCACGAAGGCGGGGCACCAAGUUCGUCUAGCGGAAAAAGGUCACAAAAAUGGGUGGGCUAUAUAUCCUUGGGGGGUGGGGUUGGCCAACUUUGUCCCCAGGACUCGGAAUGGCGCGAGACUUUGCGAGGCAACUCCGUGUGCCAAAAAUAGGCCGUGGGCACAGCGGCACCCAAAAAUAACUGCCCGAAGGCCAGGGCGCCAAGUUCGUCCAGCGGAAAAAGGCCACAAAAACGGGUGGGCUAUAGCCUUGGGGGGUGGGGCUGGCCAACUUCGUCCGCCGGACUCGGAAUGGCAAGAGACUUUGCGAGGCGCCUCUGUAUACCAAAACUAGGCCUUGGGCACAGCCGCGCCAAAAAAUAACAGCCCGAAGGCAGGGGCGCCAAGUUCGUCCAACGGAAAAAGGCCACAAAAACGGGUGGGCUAUAGCCUUGGGGGGUGGGGCUGGCCAACUUCGUCCGCCAGACUCGGAAUGGCGCGAGACUUUGCGAGGCACCUCCGUGUGCCAAAAAUUGGCCGCGGGCACAGCCGCGCCCAAAAAUAACCGCCCGAAGGCCGGGGCGCCAAGUUCAUUCAGCGGAAAAAGACCCCAAAAACGGGUGGGCUAUAGCCUUGGGGGGUGGGGCCUGCCAACUUCGUCCUCCGGACUCGGAAUGGCGCCAGACUUUGCAAGGUACCUCCGUGUGCCAAAAAUACACCGCGGGCACAGCCGUGCCCAAAAAUAACCGCCCGAAGGCCGGGGUGCCAAGUUCGUCCAGCGGAAAAAGGCCCCAAAAACGGGUGGGCUUUAGCCUUGGGGGGUGGGGCUGGCCAACUUCAUUCGCUGGACUCGGAAUGGCGCGAGACUUUGCGAGGCACCUCCAUGUGCCAAAAAUAUGCCGCGGCACAGGCGCGCCCAAAAAUAACCGCCCNNNNNNNNNNNNNNNNNNNNNNNNNNNNNNNNNNNNNNNNNNNNNNNNNNNNNNNNNNNNNNNNNNNNNNNNNNNNNNNNNNNNNNNNNNNNNNNNNNNNNNNNNNNNNNNNNNNNNNNNNNNNNNCGAGGCGCCUCCGUGUGCCAAAAAUAGGCCGUGGGCACAGCCGAGCCCAAAAAUCACCGCCCGAAGGCCGGGGUGCCAAGUUCGUCCAGCGGAAAAAGGCCCCAAAAACGGGUGGGCUAUAGCCUUGGGGGGUGGGGCUGGCCAACUUCAUCCGCUGGACUCGGAAUGGCGUAAGACUUUGCGAGGCGCCUCCGUGUGCCAAAAAUAGGCUGCGGACACAGUCGCGCCCAAAAAUAACCACCCGAAGGCCGGGGCGCCAAGUUCGUCCAGCGGAAAAAGGCCCCAAAAACGGGUGGGCUAUAGCCUUGGGGGGUGGGGCUGGCCAACUUCAUCCGCUGGACUCGGAAUGGCGUGAAAUUUUGUGAGGCGCCUCCGUGUGCCAAAAAUAGGCCGCGGACGCAGCCGCGCCCAAAAAUAACCGCCCGAAUACCGGGGCGCCAAGUUCGUCCAGCGGAAAAAGGCCCCAAAAACGGGUGGGCUAUAGCCUUGGGGGGUGGGGCUGGCCAACUUCAUCCGCUGGACUCGGAAUGGCGUGAAAUUUGGCGAGGCACCUCCGUGUGCCAAAAAUAGACCGCGGGCACAGCCGCGCCCAAAAAUAACAGCCAGAAGGCCGGGGCGCCAAGUUCGUCCAGCGGAAAAAGCCCACACAAACGGGUGGGCUAUAGCCUUGGGGGGUGGGGCGGGCCAACUUCGUCCGCCGGACUCGGAUUGGCGCGAUACUUUACGAGGUGACUCCGUGUUCCAAAAAUAUGCCGCGGGCACAGCCGCGAGCAAAAAUAACUGCCCGAAGGCCGGGGCGCCAAGUUCGUCCAGCGGAAAAGGGCCCCAAAAACGGGUGGGCAAUAGCCUUGGGGGGUGGGGCUGGCCAACUUCAUCCGCGGGACUGGGAAUGGCGUGAAAUUUUGCGAGGCGCCUCCGUGUGCCAAGAAUAGGCCGCGGGCUCAGCCGCGCUAAAAAAUAACCACCCGAAGGCCGGGGCUCCAUGUUCGUCCAACGGAAAAAGGCCACAAAAACGGGUGGGCUAUAGCCUGGGGGGUGGGGCUGGCCAACUUCGUCCGCCGGACGCGGAAUGGCGUGAGACUUUGUGAGGCGCGUCCGUGUGCCAAUAAUAGGCCGCGGGCACAGCCGCGCCCAAAAAUAACAGCCCGAAGGCCGGGCCGCCAAGUUCUUCCAGCAGAAAAAGGCCCCAAAAACGGGUGGGCUAUAGCCUUGGGGGGUGGGGCUGGCCAACUUCGUCCGCCGGACUCGGAAUGGCGCGAGACUCUCCGAGGCGCCUCCGUGUGCCAAAAAUAGGCCGUGGGCACAGCCGCGCCCAAAAAUAACUGCCCGAAGGCCGGGGCGCCAAGUUCUUCCAGCGGAAAAAGGCCCCAAAAACGGGUGGGCUAUAGCCUUGGGGGGUGGGGCUGGCCAACUUCGUUCGCCGGACUCGGAUUGGCGUGAUACUUUGCGAGGCGUCUCCGUGUACCAAAAAUAGGCCGCGGGCACAGCCGCGCUCAAAAAUAACCACCCGAAGGCCGGGGCGCCAAGUUCGUCCAGCGGAAAAAGCCCACAAAAACGGGUGGGCUAUAGCCUUGGGGGGUGGGGCUGGCCAACUUCGUCCGCCGGACUCGGACAGGCGCGAUACUUUGCGAGGCGACUCCGUGUGCCAAAAAUAGGCCGCGGGAAGAGCCGCGCCCAAAAAUAACCGCCCGAAGGUUGGGGCGCCAAGUUCUUCCAGCGGAAAAAGGCCCCAAAAACGGGUGGGCU